AUCGCCAGGCAGUGCAUGAGAGGCCUGGUAGGCAUGGGAACCACGGGCCUUUGGUAACCACAGUAACAGCGGGGCGGCCUCGCUGGCAAGCCAGAUGAGCCGCCUCGCCAUCCGCUGCCUCGGAGGUGCUCUGUGCAUUGCUGAGCUAUUUUAGGCACUUAAUUCCACAAACCAAAGUGCCUAUUGAAAUGACCCAUGCACUGUACUACUUAUGAAUUAUUCACUCCAUUCUUAUCUUCACCAACUGGAUUUCUUUUCCCCAAUCAAUGCACGUAGGCUCUUUCCACUCUUAGUUUUUCUCAUUUGUUGUUUGAAAAAUGGCUCUCUUAUCCAAAACAUAAUUCAUAUUAUUGCUGGUUUUAAAUAUUCUCUGUUGGAGAAACCUUGUCCUCUUCCCAAUACUCCCCCACUCUAGUUCUGUAGUCCCUAAGUGGAGCCUUGCAUACUUCUGGCCUAGAACCACAGCAUGAGUUCUGCUAAAAAUUUGCUAAUGAAGGAACUCGAUACAAUUUGGAAUGAGUUCUACCUCAAACGAUCGAUACAGGCCCAGUGAUGUACAUCAAGCAGGCAGACCGUGCCACUGGUUGGGUGCACAAAGGAAAAGAUACCCUUGUAAGAGAAUAUGCUAUCAGUGCUCUUUGUCCAAGAGGAGCACAGUGCCGAGACUCUGAGCUGCUUGACUCUUGCUGGGUUGUGUCCUCCAUGGUCAUCAGAGCUGCGUGUGCUUAGAGACAGCUCGGAUCUGGAAGAAGCACAGGCUUGACAUUGUGCUAACUUGGAGGUAUUUUCCCUGCACAGUUGACUCAUUCAGGGACAUGCAGCAGACAAACUGAAAUCUACCUCCUCAGGAAUAAGCAGUGCUGCAUUUUUUUUUUUUUUGGGGGUGUGCAUGUUUAUAGCUGUGUUGUUUUAUUAGCUCUGCAGUCUGAAAUCAACUAAGAUUCUGAGUUUCUGAGUUGUAGCAAGUUCCCUCAGAUGUUUACUUUGAGCAGUGGUGUCAGCAGUGCAAGAUCAUGUGAAGGACCAGCAAGGAACUAAUAUAAGUAUCUGGUGUAGAGAAGUCUUGAAAGCAGGUGGAGAAAGUUUGAAAACAGAAGUUAACAUGGCUUGUUCUUUGCCUUAUUCUUAACCCUCAGCAGCUUCUCAGCUCCAUCAUAUACAGUUCUUUCAGGUGUGGGGGAUUGGCAAGGCUAAAAAGCUGCCUUUAAAAACCCAUAGAUAUUUAGGCAGAUGUCAUGGGAUUAAAUGCAGCUACUGGAUUAUGAAGGUGCUCGGUUUAUUUUCCCUGUGAAAUAUAUGCUUGCUUAUGA